AAUUUAUCGAGAUUUAUUUAUAUGGUUAGUUAUAUUCAGUAUGUAUCCUCGUCCAUGAAACUAGAUUAUAAUGUCCAUAUGUUACUUGACCCAAGAAGCGUUUUCUUUUCUUUCACUUCCGAUUUUCGAAUUUGGAACUUCAAAAAAAUUAUAACAAGUAGGUCUUAUUUCAAUUUUAUUUGAAGUUAGGUUGUUUUGAGGAGUCAACACGAACUUCCGGGAUAUUGCAAUUUGCAAUCACGCAAAUCUGUUCCAGAUAAUGGCGAAAAUCCUCGGAAUACGCGCGAAUAUUCUAGAUUUACUUAUAUAAAUGAAUAACAAUCGUAGGAUCGCCUUUAUUGUAUUGGCUGGCCUGUGGGCCUAAAUAAAGACAUCGUGUGAUACGUGAUUACGAUAGCAGCCUUAUGGUGCAACAUUUACACGCCGCCAUUUUGUACUUCUAGAAGCUAGACGUUCCUCCAUAACUCAAUAGCUUACUCCCCUCUCGCAUGGAAUGGACUCGUCUGAACAAAUUGUUGAUUCAAGGCCACAUGCUGCAGUCAAGUGACAUGAUAUUGUGUGAGUAACAUUUCGCCCGCUUUGUCAUUGUUCUCUUCUUCAGGAUCUUCAAUCUCUAUUCCCAAACAGGGGCGUAACUAGGACUUGGUUUUUGGAGAUUGUAGGACACUCCACACCGAGGGUUUGGAACUGAUAUAAGGCACUUUGGAAAUGCAGACGACAAUACUUUGAUGUGAAAGUUUGAAUACAACUAACUGAUUUAAGAAAAGAAUUGAGGGUAUGAGUCAACAGGAGCGUAGCAUAGUAAAUGAAUAAGCUAAUUUAGUCUAUAGUGUUAUGAGCGACUCUGAAUAAAACAGAGACUCUGAAUAAAACAGAGCAGCGCAAUGAUCAGAAAUUAAUCCCUGGAGUGAAAUGAGCAACUAACAAUUCAUCGGCUCAGCAGUCUUCAGUCACCUCCUUAUAAUGUUUUCAUGCCUUCAGGAAGAUGGUUGAAUAGUUUUAUGUGUAUUUUAUUGUUUUUGAUAUUGACAAGUAAAAGUGAUGUAGGCCGAACUGUAGAUGACGAAAUCCAUUAAAUCACUCAUGGCAUGGAAGAUUUUAGUAUAAAAUAAAAUAAUGAGUUUGACACAGCCCUAAAGAAGAGCAGCUUUCAAUAUAUAAUAAUGUUAAUAAUGCAGUAAAAUUAUGUAACGUACAUUUUUGUGAAACAAAAAAUAUUUUUUUACAUUAACUAAUUUAAGUGUAACGUUGGCCCAACUGUUAUAAAAUCCAUUAAAUCACUCAUGGCAUGGAAGAUUCUAGUAUAAAAUAAAAUAAUGAGUUUGACACAGCCCUAAAGAAGAGCAGCUUUCAAUAUAUAAUAAUGUUAAUAAUGCAGUAAAAUUAUGUAACGUACAUUUUUGUGAAACAAAAAAUAUUUUUUUACAUUAACUAAUUUAAGUAACGUUGGCCCAACUGUUAUAAAAUCCAUUAAAUCACUCAUGGCAUGGAAGAUUCUAGUAUAAAAUAAAAUAAUGAGUUUGACACAGCCCUAAAGAAGAGCAGCUUUCAAUAUAUAAUAAUGUUAAUAAUGCAGUAAAAUUAUGUAACGUACAUUUUUGUGAAACAAAAAAUAUUUUUUUACAUUAACUAAUUUAAGUAACGUUGGCCCAACUGUUAUAAAAUCCAUUAAAACCGCCCAUGGCAUGGAAGGUUUCAAAGUGUGAAACAACAUUUUUGUUAUUGACAUUAAUAAAAUCAAUAAAAUGAAAUAUAAUAAUGAAAUUGAUACAGCCUUGUAUAAGAGCAGUUGUCAAUAUAAAAUUGUGAAAUUGUAAUAAAAUUAUGUAAAGUAAAUUAUCUCUGGAAAAUA